UAUGUGAUCCUUGUGCCUUGUA
rnacentral:siRNA from 1 species